UGGGGAAUCUUGCACAAUGGGGGAAACCCUGAUGCAGCGACGCCGCGUGGGUGAUGAAGCUCUUCGGAGUGUAAAGCCCUUUCGGCAGGGAAGAGAAAAGACGGUACCUGCAAAAGAAGCCCCGGCUAACUACGUGCCAGCAGCCGCGGUAAUACGUAGGGGGCAAGCGUUGUUCGGAAUUACUGGGCGUAAAGAGCGCGUAGGCGGCGCAGUGUGUUUGGUGUGAAAUCUCCCGGCUCAACCGGGAGGGGCCAUCGAAAACUGCUGUGCUUCGGGUACGGGAGAGGGGAGUGGAAUUCCCGGUGUAGCGGUGAAAUGCGUAGAGAUCGGGAGGAACACCAGCGACGAAGGUGGCUCCCUGGACCGUUACCGACGCUGAGGCGCGAAAGCUAGGGGAGCAAACAGGAUUAGAUACCCCCGUAGUCC
rnacentral:rRNA from 1 species